UACGGGGGGAGCAAGCGUUGUUCGGAUUUACUGGGCGUAAAGGGCGCGUAGGCGGUCAGCACAAGUCAGUUGUGAAAUCUCCGGGCUUAACUCGGAAAGGUCAACUGAUACUGUGCGACUAGAGUGCGAGAAGGGGCAACUGGAAUUCUCGGUGUAGCGGUGAAAUGCGUAGAUAUCGAGAGGAACACCUGCGGCGAAGGCGGGUUGCUGGGCUGACACUGACGCUGAUGCGCGAAAGCCAGGGGAGCGAACGGG
rnacentral:rRNA from 1 species